AGCGAGUAAUUUUUUUUUUUUUUAGCGUAGUACGCUGGCGGCGUGCCUAAUACAUGCAAGUUGAGCGCUGAAGGUUGGUACUUGUACCAACUGGAUGAGCAGCGAACGGGUGAGUAACGCGUGGGGAAUCUGCCUUUGAGCGGGGGACAACAUUUGGAAACGAAUGCUAAUACCGCAUAAAAACUUUAAACACAAGUUUUAAGUUUGAAAGAUGCAAUUGCAUCACUCAAAGAUGAUCCCGCGUUGUAUUAGCUAGUUGGUGAGGUAAAGGCUCACCAAGGCGAUGAUACAUAGCCGACCUGAGAGGGUGAUCGGCCACAUUGGGACUGAGACACGGCCCAAACUCCUACGGGAGGCAGCAGUAGGGAAUCUUCGGCAAUGGACGAAAGUCUGACCGAGCAACGCCGCGUGAGUGAAGAAGGUUUUCGGAUCGUAAAACUCUGUUGGUAGAGAAGAACGUUGGUGAGAGUGGAAAGCUCAUCAAGUGACGGUAACUACCCAGAAAGGGACGGCUAACUACGUGCCAGCAGCCGCGGUAAUACGUAGGUCCCGAGCGUUGUCCGGAUUUAUUGGGCGUAAAGCGAGCGCAGGUGGUUUAUUAAGUCUGGUGUAAAAGGCAGUGGCUCAACCAUUGUAUGCAUUGGAAACUGGUAGACUUGAGUGCAGGAGAGGAGAGUGGAAUUCCAUGUGUAGCGGUGAAAUGCGUAGAUAUAUGGAGGAACACCGGUGGCGAAAGCGGGCUCUCUGGCCUGUUAACUGACACUGAGGCUCCAAAGCGGGGGGAGCAAACAGGAUUAGAUACCCUGGUUAGUCCACGCCGUAAAGGAAGGAGUGGCUAGAUGUUGGGAGCUUAUAAGUUUCCCGGUAUUCGCA
rnacentral:rRNA from 1 species